rnacentral:rRNA from 1 species
AGAGUUUGAUCAUGGCUCAGAAUCAACGCUGGCGGCGUGCCUAACACAUGCAAGUCGAACGAGAAAGUGGAGCAAUCCAUGAGUAAAGUGGCGCACGGGUGAGUAACACGUGACUAACCUACCCUUGAGUGGGGAAUAACCUGGAGAAAUCUAGGCUAAUACCGCAUAACACCUACGGGUCAAAGGAGCAAUUCGCUUAAGGAGGGGGUCGCGGCAGAUUAGCUAGUUGGCGGGGUAAUGGCCCACCAAGGCGGUGAUCUGUAUCCGGCCUGAGAGGGCGCACGGACACACUGGAACUGAAACACGGUCCAGACCCCUACGGGAGGCAGCAGUGGGGAAUUUUGCGCAAUGGGGGAAACCCUGACGCAGCAACGCCGCGUGGAGGAUGAAGUCCCUUGGGACGUAAACUCCUUUCGAUCGGGACGAUUAUGACGGUACCGAGAGAAGAAGCCCCGGCUAACUUCGUGCCAGCAGCCGCGGUAAUACGAGGGGGGCGAGCGUUGUUCGGAAUUAUUGGGCGUAAAGGGUGCGUAGGCGGUUCGGUAAGUCUUAUGUGAAAUCUUCGGGCUCAACUCGAAGUCUGCAUGAGAAACUGCCGGGCUUGAGUGUGGGAGAGGUGAGUGGAAUUUCCGGUGUAGCGGUGAAAUGCGUAGAUAUCGGAAGGAACACCUGUGGCGAAAGCGGCUCACUGGACCAUAACUGACGCUGAUGCACGAAAGCUAGGGGAGCAAACAGGAUUAGAUACCCCCGUAGUCC